CCCCCUUCUUUCGUCUCUCUGUAUUUUUUCAAAGCCCCCCCUUUCAGGUUUUGAAAAAUUUAAAGGCCCCCCCAGUUUCUCCUCAAUCCCCCCCUGUACAAUAAAUAAUGAGCGGUCCCUUAGUGAUAGUAAAUAACAAGCUAUGGUAAUAACAAGGUCAAGGUGGGUCAAGGUUUUAUCGAAAGCGACUCACGGACUGACUGUUAGAUAUGUCCUUUACAAAUUUAUAACUAAAUAACAUUAUUUCCUAUACUGCUAUAGAUUUAGCUUUAUUGUAACUUUUUAAAGAUACUGUAUAAAAAACCUGUGGAAACGGUGAAUUACUAUAACAGAUUGAAAAUGAUUAUUAAACUAUGAUUGAGAUUGUCGAAGUAGAAAAAGUAUAAAGGUACUAAUAAGUUAAUAUGACCUUAUGGUUUGUUUUUUCUAAUUCAUUUGGGAGAGAAGAAAUGGCUGUAUUUAUCAUUU